AUUGAACGCUGGCGGCAGGCCUAACACAUGCAAGUCGAACGAGUGGCGGACGGGUGAGUAAUGUCUGGGAAACUGCCCGAUGGAGGGGGAUAACUACUGGAAACGGUAGCCUAUACCGCAUACUCUCGGAUGAGCCCAGAUGUGAUUAGCUUGUAGGGGGGGUAACGGCUCACCUAGGCGACGAUCCCUAGCUGGUCUGAGAGGAGGACCGGCAACACUGGAACUGAGACACGGUCAGGACUCCUACGGGGGGAGGCAGUGGGGAAUAUUGGAAAAUGGGGGAAAGCCUGAUGCGGCCAUGCCGCGGGUAUGAAGAGGGCCUUCGGGUUGUAAAGUACUUUCAGCGGGGAGGCGUUACCCGAAGAGGAAGCAACGGCUAACUCCGUGCCAGCAGCCGCGGUAAUUC
rnacentral:rRNA from 1 species